rnacentral:rRNA from 1 species
GACAGAGGGUGCAAACGUUUGUUCGGAAUUACUGGGCGUAAAGCGAGUGUAGGCGGUUUGGAAAAGUCGGAUGUGAAAGCCCCCGGGCUCAACCCGGGAAAGUGCACUCGAUACUCCCAAGCUAGAGUAUCGGAGAGGUUGGCGGAAUUCUCGGUGUAGAGGUGAAAAUUCGUAGAUAUCGAGAGGAACACCGGUGGCGAAGGCGGGGUCUCUGGGGCAGUAAACUGACGCUGAGGAGCGAAAAGCGUGGGGGAGCGAACAGG